AGUAGUUUGAUCAGUGGCUCAGGACGAACGCUGGCGGCGUGCUUAACACAUGCAAGUCGGACGGUCAGGUUAUGAAGGUUCGCUGGAUUGGCCUGGUAGUGGCGGACGGGUGAGUAACGCGUGAGGACAUGGCUUCAGGAGGGGGAUAACGUUUGGAAACGGACGCUAAGACCCCAUAUGCCGGAAGGUGAAAGUGAUCUUCGGAUCAGCCUGGAGAGUGACUCGCGUCCUAUCAGCUAGUUGGUGGGGUGAAGGCCUACCAAGGCGAUGACGGGUAGCCGACCUGAGAGGGUGGCCGGCCACACUGGAACUGAGAUACGGUCCAGACUCCUACGGGAGGCAGCAGUGGGGAAUAUUGGGCAAUGGGCGCAAGCCUGACCCAGCGACGCCGCGUGGGGGAUGAAGUCUUUCGGGAUGUAAACCCUUGUUGUACGGGACGAAAACAAUGACGGUACCGUACGAGGAAGCCCCGGCAAACUACGUG
rnacentral:rRNA from 1 species